GCUCGAGUGGCGAACGGGUGAGUAACACGUGAGUAACCUGCCCUUGACUUUGGGAUAACUUCAGGAAACUGGGGCUAAUACCGGAUAGGAGCUCCUGCUGCAUGGUGGGGGUCGGAAAGUUUCGGCGGUUGGGGAUGGACUCGCGGCUUAUCAGCUUGUUGGUGGGGUAGUGGCUUACCAAGGCUUUGACGGGUAGCCGGCCUGAGAGGGUGACCGGCCACAUUGGGACUGAGAUACGGCCCAG
rnacentral:rRNA from 1 species